CUUGGAAUUUACUAAAAACAUUUUAUUAAAAAAAUCUUUGUGCAACUUAUUUUAUUUUUCAAAGCUCUAGCCAUAUCAAGAUGGAAGAUUGAGGAAGAAACAUAACAAAAUAAUAUGUCAAAAAAAAGUCCCAUUUUGUGGAAUAUAGAUAAAAUAUCAUUUUUUUUGUUAAGAAAACUCAUAGGUCUUAAAAAAUGAACACUUCUAAAUAUAAUUUAACUUCAUCUUCUAACCAUAUAUAUAGGCUUUGUUAUUUGUAAGCAAAAAUAAAGCAUUUUUUUGUUUUCAGAUAAAAAAAUCUAUGAAAUCUAUGUUAAAAGCAAUUUUUAUACCAAUCAAAUCCAAUCUAAUGUCAAAACAGAGGGACAGAUCCAGCACUCUUUGGUGUUUCAGAUAACUAACUUCCUGACAUGGAUCAAACACCAAACAUUCAUAUGCUUAUACUUAUGUCAAAUAAAGAUGCUUUGCAAAA